UACGUAGGUGGCAAGCGUUGUCCGGAUUUACUGGGCGUAAAGAGCGCGCAGGCGGUCGAUCAAGUCGCGUGUGAAAGCCCCCCGGCUCAACUGGGGAGGGUCACGCGAUACUGAUCGACUCGAAGGCAGGAGAGGGUAGUGGAAUUCCCGGUGUAGUGGUGAAAUGCGUAGAUAUCUGGAGGAACACCGGUGGCGAAGGCGACGCCUGGACCGGCAUUGACGCUGAGGCGCGAAAAGCCAGGGGGAGCAAACGGG
rnacentral:rRNA from 1 species